UACGGAGGAUCCAAGCGUUAUCCGGAUUUAUUGGGUUUAAAGGGUGCGUAGGCGGCCUGUUAAGUCAGGGGUGAAAGACGGUAGCUUAACUAUCGCAGUGCCCUUGAUACUGCUAGGCUUGAGUAUAGUUGAGGUAGGCGGAAUUGACAGUGUAGCGGUGAAAUGCAUAGAUAUUGUCAAGAACACCAAUUGCGAAGGCAGCUUACUAUGGUUAUAUUGACACUGAGGCACGAAAGCGUGGGGAUCAAACAGG
rnacentral:rRNA from 1 species